rnacentral:rRNA from 1 species
ACACAUGCAAGUCGAACGGUAACAGGAAGCAGCUUGCUGCUUCGCUGACGAGUGGCGGACGGGUGAGUAAUGUCUGGGAAACUGCCUGAUGGAGGGGGAUAACUACUGGAAACGGUAGCUAAUACCGCAUAACGUCGCAAGACCAAAGAGGGGGACCUUCGGGCCUCUUGCCAUCGGAUGUGCCCAGAUGGGAUUAGCUAGUAGGUGGGGUAACGGCUCACCUAGGCGACGAUCCCUAGCUGGUCUGAGAGGAUGACCAGCCACACUGGAACUGAGACACGGUCCAGACUCCUACGGGAGGCAGCAGUGGGGAAUAUUGCACAAUGGGCGCAAGCCUGAUGCAGCCAUGCCGCGUGUAUGAAGAAGGCCUUCGGGUUGUAAAGUACUUUCAGCGGGGAGGAAGGGAGUAAAGUUAAUACCUUUGCUCAUUGACGUUACCCGCAGAAGAAGCACCGGCUAACUCCGUGCCAGCAGCCGCGGUAAUACGGAGGGUGCAAGCGUUAAUCGGAAUUACUGGGCGUAAAGCGCACGCAGGCGGUUUGUUAAGUCAGAUGUGAAAUCCCCGGGCUCAACCUGGGAACUGCAUCUGAUACUGGCAAGCUUGAGUCUCGUAGAGGGGGGUAGAAUUCCAGGUGUAGCGGUGAAAUGCGUAGAGAUCUGGAGGAAUACCGGUGGCGAAGGCGGCCCCCUGGACGAAGACUGACGCUCAGGUGCGAAAGCGUGGGGAGCAAAACAGGAUUAGAUACCCUGGUAGUCCACGCCGUAAACGAUGUCGACUUGGAGGUUGUGCCCUUGAGGCGUGGCUUCCGGAGCUAACGCGUUAAGUCGACCGCCUGGGGAGUACGGCCGCAAGGUUAAAACUCAAAUGAAUUGACGGGGGCCCGCACAAGCGGUGGAGCAUGUGGUUUAAUUCGAUGCAACGCGAAGAACCUUACCUGGUCUUGACAUCCACGGAAGUUUUCAGAGAUGAGAAUGUGCCUUCGGGAACCGUGAGACAGGUGCUGCAUGGCUGUCGUCAGCUCGUGUUGUGAAAUGUUGGGUUAAGUCCCGCAACGAGCGCAACCCUUAUCCUUUGUUGCCAGCGGUCCGGCCGGGAACUCAAAGGAGACUGCCAGUGAUAAACUGGAGGAAGGUGGGGAUGACGUCAAGUCAUCAUGGCCCUUACGACCAGGGCUACACACGUGCUACAAUGGCGCAUACAAAGAGAAGCGACCUCGCGAGAGCAAGCGGACCUCAUAAAGUGCGUCGUAGUCCGGAUUGGAGUCUGCAACUCGACUCCAUGAAGUCGGAAUCGCUAGUAAUCGUGGAUCAGAAUGCCACGGUGAAUACGUUCCCGGGCCUUGUACACACCGCCCGUCACACCAUGGGAGUGGGUUGCAAAAGAAGUAGGUAGCUUAACCUUCGGGAGGGCGCUU